GAUUCAGCAGUGGCUGUUGGAUCCCUGGAAUUUGAAUUACAAGCAGUUCUGAGUUGUCCAACUUGGGUUUGAGGAGUCGACUCAGUGAGGAACUGCAAUUCCAGACCACAAAGGGGUAUUGCAUUACUUCAGUGAGAAUGGCCACUAGCAAAAGAAGAAGGAGAGGAAGGAGAAGGAAAUGGACAAAGAGGAGACGGACAAAGAAAAAGAGGAGGAAAAGGAAGAACAGUGAAGAAAUGGGCAGAUCCUGUGUCCAUCCAGCAAUUAAUAAAGGAAAUGUGGCCCAAGAGGAAUACACUAUAAUGGCAUUCUAAUGAUUCAUGAGCACCUGGUCCUAAGUUCUUCUGCACCAGCUCUGUCUACAUGGAGAUGGGUGAUCUUGAACUGAGUGCUGAUUGCUUUACAGAUGAAAAUGCACCGUGUGGUUGGAUGUCCAAGUUGUGCCUUAUUUGAAGCGACCUGUGGCUUGUUUUGAAAAUGUG